rnacentral:rRNA from 1 species
ACGUAGGGUGCGAGCGUUGUUCGGAGUUAUUGGGCGUAAAGGGCGUGUAGGCGGCUUGAGAAGUCUGGUUUGAAAUGCACUGGCUCAACUGGUGCGCUGGGUCUGAAACUGGCAGGCUAGAGUUCAGGGGAAGGAGGCGGAAUUCCAAGUGUAGCGGUGAAAUGUGUAGAUAUUAGGAGGAACACCAGUGGCGAAGGCGGCUUUCUGUACUUUAACUGACGCUGAGGCGCGAAAGCGUGGGGAGCAAACAG